rnacentral:ncRNA from 2 species
CGAUGUUCUCAGGGCGGGGUGAAAGUCCCCACCGGCGGUAAGGGUGCAAGCCCAAGCCCGCGAGCGCCUUCUUCGUGAAGUUGAGGAAGGGUCAGCAGAUUCGGUGCAAUUCCGAGGCCGACGGUUAAAGUCCGGAUGAAAGAGAACGGUU